rnacentral:ribozyme from 1 species
GAUUAUAAAUCACAAAAUUUUAGAGAUUUGAGGAAUAAAUGCUGCAUUGCGAAAGAAGAAUUGUGCGGCGAUGGAAAGGAGCU